rnacentral:RNase_P_RNA from 1 species
UGAUGAUAAAGCCUUGCUGUGAGGAAAGUCCGGGCUUCACCGGGAAAAUGCCGGAUAAUAACCGGGCCGGCAGGGUAGAUGUAAUUUUAUUACAUAUCCCUUGCCGGACAGAAAGUGCAACAGAAAACAAACCGCCCCUCAACGGGUAAGGGUGAAAAGGUGGAGUAAGAGACCACCGUGCAUUCUGGCGACAGAUGCAGCUGGCAAACCUCAUUUGAAGCAAGACCGCAUAGAAGUUGGUUUCCGGGCCGUACACUUCGGGUAGGUCGCUAAAGCCGUCUGGCAACAGGCGGUUCGGAUAGAUGGUUACGAACUGCUCAGGCAGUUGACAGAACCCGGCUUAUUUUCCCGUCU